rnacentral:rRNA from 1 species
AGUGAACGCUGGCGGUAGGCCUAACACAUGCAAGUCGAACGGCAGCACAGUAAGAGCUUGCUCUUACGGGUGGCGAGUGGCGGACGGGUGAGGAAUACAUCGGAAUCUACUUUUUCGUGGGGGAUAACGUAGGGAAACUUACGCUAAUACCGCAUACGACCUACGGGUGAAAGCAGGGGAUCUUCGGACCUUGCGCGAUUGAAUGAGCCGAUGUCGGAUUAGCUAGUUGGCGGGGUAAAGGCCCACCAAGGCGACGAUCCGUAGCUGGUCUGAGAGGAUGAUCCGCCACACUUGAACCGAGACACCGUCCAGACCCCUACGGGAGGCCGCCGUGGGGAAUAUUGGACAAUGGGCGCAAGCCUGAUCCAGCCAUACCGCGUGGGUGAAGAAGGCCUUCGGGUUGUAAAGCCCUUUUGUUGGGAAAGAAAAGCAGCAGGUUAAUACCCCGCUGUUCUGACGGUACCCAAAGAAUAAGCACCGGCUAACUUCGUG